GCUCUGUUUUCAAAAUAGUACAUUCAAACACAUUCUCAUGGGUAAAAGAAACUGAUGAAUCUUUCACACCAGGAAAGUCAGAGACCAUCAACAGGCUUUCAAUGAGCAUCAGGUAUCAUUUCUUCUCUUACAGUGCUGCUGAAAUAUGUUCUUGCCCAUGGAGGGCACUAAGGAGCCAAUACAUCCAUUUAGAAGAAUGAGUUUGUGGUACUGGUGGAGCAAAAUAUGGAAAAACUGAAAAAACUGUCAUGGAAAAACUCUGCUAUGUUGCUACACUGCUUCAGCAAACAGACUGAAGGAGCUGAGCAGUGAUACAGCACAGAGCUUUGCAGUUCUUUUGUAAAGGCAACAAUCUAAAUAAUUCAUAAGAACAGAGACACCAGCUGUAGGUACCACAGCCAGCUUCUGCAUAACUUCAUUUCACUCAACAUACAGCCUUGUGAAGGAUCAGAUUUAUUUCCUUGCUGAAAUCCGCUCUGGUAGCAGCAGCAGUGACAGGGAAGACAAAAUUAUCAUCAUCCUCUAGUAACUUCUCAUUGAAAGGUGCUGGGUGGAGUCUUCUGGCAAGUGGUUUCUGAGAAAUCCACUGCUCAGCAUAAAUAACUCUAAUGAUACUCAGAGCAGGAUUAUGCUGUAUGCCAUCCUGGAAGAAGUGCAACAGCCAGGCUGGGAUAAAAAGAAGAGAUUGGUGAUGAGCAUACAUCCUC